rnacentral:rRNA from 1 species
CCUACGGGAGGCAGCAGUGGGGAAUCUUGCGCAAUGGGCGAAAGCCUGACGCAGCCAUGCCGCGUGAAUGAUGAAGGUCUUAGGAUUGUAAAAUUCUUUCACCGGGGACGAUAAUGACGGUACCCGGAGAAGAAGCCCCGGCUAACUUCGUGCCAGCAGCCGCGGUAAUACGAAGGGGGCUAGCGUUGCUCGGAAUUACUGGGCGUAAAGGGAGCGUAGGCGGAUAGUUUAGUCAGAGGUGAAAGCCCAGGGCUCAACCUUGGAAUUGCCCUUGAUACUGGCUAUCUUGAGUACGGAAGAGGUAUGUGGAACUCCGAGUGUAGAGGUGAAAUUCGUAGAUAUUCGGAAGAACACCAGUGGCGAAGGCGACAUACUGGUCCGUUACUGACGCUGAGGCUCGAAAGCGUGGGGAGCAAACAGGAUUAGAUACCCUGGUAGUCCACGCUGUAAACGAUGAGUGCUAGUUGUCGGCAUGCAUGCAUGUCGGUGGACGCAGCGUAACGCAUUAAGUACACCUCCGCCGUCGGGGAGGUACGGUCGCGAACGAAUUAAAACGUUAAAAUUAGUAAGUUAGUACGGCGUGAGACGUGCCGACGGACGACGACGAGGGAGGUUAGG